AUUGAACGCUGGCGGAAUGCUUAACACAUGCAAGUCGCACGGGGGCUUCGGCCUUAGUGGCGGACGGGUGAGUAACGCGUAGGAAUGUGUCCGAGGAUGGGGGAUAACGUUGGGAAACUGACGCUAAUACCGCAUAUCUCCUGAGGGGGAAAGCCGCGAGGCGUCCACGGAGCAGCCUGCGUACGAUUAGCUUGUUGGUUAGGUAAAGGCUGACCAAGGCGACGAUCGUUAGCUGGUCUGAGAGGAUGAUCAGCCACACUGGAACUGAGACACGGUCCAGACUCCUACGGGAGGCAGCAGUGGGGAAUAUUGGACAAUGGGCGCAAGCCUGAUCCAGCAAUUCCGCGUGGGCGAAGAAGGUCUUCGGAUUGUAAAGCCCUUUCGUUGGGGACGAUGAUGACGGUACCCAAAGAAGAAGCCCCGGCUAACUUCGUG
rnacentral:rRNA from 1 species